GGCCUGGUGGCUCAGUUGGUUAGAGCGCCGCCCUGUCACGGCGGAGGUCGAGGGUUCGAACCCCUCCCAGGUCG
rnacentral:tRNA from 2 species